UUUUUUCAUUUAUAUUGUUUUCUUACUGUGACAUGCAGGCAGGACUUGCUGAAAUGGAAUGGCUGGGGAUACAAGGACUCCAAGUUUGUGGUCGAUGGCACCACUCAUCAUAUUUCGUUUACAGGCGACAGAUACAAGAUUGGAAACAAGGUGCUGCCUCACUUCAAGGCCUGGGUCGAGUCAGCGCUGGGUGUCGACCUCAAUGUCCUCAUUCCAUCGCAGGAGCCCAUAAAAAGCACCAAGUCCUCUCUGCAAGGCUCCUCCACCGUGGCCAUUAACCCUGUCCACAAGUGUGUCAGGGUAAGCGUGUCGAAUGUCCCUCUUUCAGCCACAGUUUUCCCACAAAAGUUUGCUUGCAGAGAACGCUGGCGCUGCGAUCGUUCACAGGG